rnacentral:misc_RNA from 1 species
AAGUCGUAACAAGGUUUCCGUAGGUGAACCUGCGGAAGGAUCAUUAACACUCUUCAGUUGAGACCGUGCCGAGCUGCACCCGCGGCUCGGUUCCGCGUCUCAUCUACUAUCCAACCGUGGUCGUGUUCCGUACCUUUGCCCUCGCGGCGAAGGCUUUUCCACCCGGUCGCUGAGUGCUGGUGGCGUGCGGUCUCCGGAUCGUUGCGAAGACAGCCCAGUGACGACAGGUUCGUUCGGGCCUGAAGUCGUAUAGAUGGGGUGGCCUAAUCCACUAUUUAUAUUGCACAGCAUACCAGCACUGAUCACAUAUGCACACGAAAGUGUGCGUAUGCUUUACUGGCCUCGCGCCGGUAAAACCAAAUACAACUCGUAGCAAUGGAUAUCUCGGCUAAC